rfam:Triticum aestivum genome assembly, contig: Triticum_aestivum_CS42_TGACv1_scaffold_158119_2DL
UUCUGGGACAUCUGACAUCUAAUAAAAUUGGAACGAUACAGAGAAGAUUAGCAUGGCCCUUGCGCAAGGAUGACAUGCACAAAUUGAGAAAUGGUCCAAUUUUUU